CACGUAGGCGGUAGGACAAGUUAGAUGUGAAAUCCCAGGGCUUAACCUUGGAACUGCAUCUAAAACUGUUUUACUAGAGUUCACUAGAGGGAAGUGGAAUUUCCGGUGUAGCGGCGAAAUGCGUAGAUAUCGGAAGGAACAUCAGUGGCGAAGGCGACUUUCUGGAGUUGAACUGACGCUAAGGUGCGAGAGCGUGGGGAGCAAACA
rnacentral:rRNA from 1 species